GCCCCGCCGUAAACUUAGAUAUUCCAGUACAACAAAUAUCCGCCAGGGGACUACGAGCGCCAGCUUAAAACCCAAAGGACUUGGCGGUGCUUCAGACCCCCCUAGAGGAGCCUGUUCUAGAACCGAUAACCCCCGUUCAACCUCACUACUCCUUGCUUUUCCCGCCUAUAUACCACCGUCGCCAGCUUACCCUGUGAAGGUACUACAGUAAGCAGAAUGAGUAAUACUCAAAACGUCAGGUCGAGGUGUAGCGUACGAAGUAGGAAGAAAUGGGCUACAUUAUCUGAUCCAGAUUAUUCACGGAAGGUUGUCUGAAACGACAAUCCGAAGGUGGAUUUAGCAGUAAAGGGGGAAUAGAGUGCCCCCUUGAAGCCGGCUCUGAAGCGCGCACACACCGCCCGUCACUCUCCCCAACAACCGCCUACACCAAGGUAAAUAACACAACACCCGUCACAAGGGGAGGCAAGUCGUAACAUGGUAAGUGUACCGGAAGGUGCACUUGGAAUAAU
rnacentral:rRNA from 1 species